AAAGUUUAUGGAAAGGUUAUUACAUAUGUUACUGGAAACAGCAUCUGCUUUCCUGCUUCUCCAGGUUCUUGGGAGAAGUUUUGCUUAUUCUAUUAUUAUAGCAAUACAUAUGGAUGACAAGUAGUAUUUUGAUGCUGUUUGAUAUGAAAUUCAAAAGAACAUAGUGCCAAAAACGGGGAGAAAAAAAAGAAAGAAAAAAAAAAAGAAAUCAGAACAUGCUUAAAUUUUUAUACACCUUCUCAUGUAGGAAAAAAUAGGAUGGUCUUGUGGUAAUUAAAUAAUUCAAAGACUUUUUUUUCAGUUUUCUAAUACAGAAAUUAAUAAUUUAAUUUUAAAAAUGUGUACUCAUUCCAUAACUUUUCACAAUCUGAAACAUCAGGGUUAAACAGAGAUUUUCUUUUUCCUGGUCUCUUUAGUGAAGAGAAGCAGAGGCUCCUCCAGGGGAGCCAGAGUCAGAAAUGUCUCUUUUCAUUUGAUCUCUGAGGGAAGCUUCUCUUUUUCCAGGCAGUUUUGCCACCUGCCUUGGGCUGCCGACAUAAGCUGGGAUGAAUCUUCCCAGCUGCCACUCCACAGGAAAACUAGAUUAUUGCAUAGGAAAAAUAAAAAUUUAUGAAGCCCCGAGGGCAUGAAGGAGGAUGGAAUGAGGACAAACUGCAAAGCCAUGGACACUGGAGGGAAUUCAAAACCCAAACUGGAAGCAUGGGAAAUGAGCAGUCACUCUGUUUUUCCUCUGGCCACAAUUCCUCAGUUACAUCGGGUUCAAAGAUCCUGCUCUUGUCUCAUUUUGGAAGCUGAACCAUCCUAAAUGUAUCUUGGUCCUGCAGAAAAUCCCCAGAGGAAAGCAAAGGCUCGAGGAGCAGAGCUGUGUCUGAGCAGGAAGAGGGAUUCAUCUCACCCAACCUUUAUGUAUCCAAACCAGAACCAAGAAAUCCCAAACAAAACACAAGAAAUUGUCUGAAUUUGGAGAGUUCAUUUUAAAACUGCUAAAGUGAGAGGAAGAAAAGAAAAUGAGUGGUCUCUAACUGGUCUCUAAAUAAAAUCCUUCUUCCCUUUCA
rnacentral:lncRNA from 1 species